rnacentral:rRNA from 1 species
AGAUUGAACGCUAGCGGGAUGCUUUACACAUGCAAGUCGAACGGCAGCGCGGACUUCGGUCUGGCGGCGAGUGGCGAACGGGUGAGUAAUAUAUCGGAACGUGCCCAGUAGCGGGGGAUAACUACGCGAAAGCGUGGCUAAUACCGCAUACGCCCUACGGGGGAAAGGGGGGGAUCGCAAGACCUCUCACUAUUGGAGCGGCCGAUAUCAGAUUAGCUAGUUGGUGAGGUAAAGGCUCACCAAGGCGACGAUCUGUAGCUGGUUUGAGAGGACGACCAGCCACACUGGGACUGAGACACGGCCCAGACUCCUACGGGAGGCAGCAG